GGGUGUGUGGCGCAGUGGUAGCGCGCCUCAUUCGCAUUCAGCCGUCUUUCUGCUGAGCAAUUGCCUUGAGGAGGUCUAGGGUUCGAGUCCCUACUCAUCCA